AAGAUGUACCGGAAACUGCUCCGGUUCUGUCCAUCUUGUCCCCUUUCAAGGGCGAUGGACCGGAUAUUUGUCUGGCCGCCGGGUUCUUUCCUCAAGAAAAGAAUAUGACUUUGACUUUGGAAGGUAACGAACCUAAAAGUCUUACCCCCAGCAAUGCACCUUUGUUCAGCACGACCAAAACCUAUUAUUAUGCUGGAUUCAGUGAUAAUACAAAAAUCAAUGAAUGCAAAAUGGAUGGACAAACUGCAGACAAAACUCCAGACACUCCUGAAACGACAGGUGUUCCAAAAAUGAACUUCAUGAAUCUUCUUGUGACAGGUCUGAGAAUUCUGCUUGCUAAAUGUGUUGCAGUUAAUGUAAUGAUGACUGUAAAGGCAUUCGUAUUUUAA
ensembl:lncRNA